AGUGAACGCUGGCGGUAGGCCUAACACAUGCAAGUCUAACGGCAGCACAGUAAUAGCUUGCUCUUACGGGGGGCGAGUGGCGGACGGGUGAGGAAUACAUCGGCAUCUACUUUUGCGUGGGGGAGAACGUAGGGAAACUUACGCUAAUACCGCAUACGACCUACGGGUGAAAGCAGUGGAACGUCGGACCUUGCGCGAUCGAAUGAGCCGAUGUCCGAUUAGCUAGGUGGCGGGGUAAAGGCCCACCAAGGCGACGAUCCGGAGCUGGCCUGAGAGGAUGAGGAGGCAGACGUGAACUGGUAGACGGUCCAGAGUCGUAUGGGAGGCAGCAGUGGCGAAUAUUGGAGACAGGGGGGAAGCAUGUUCGAGACAUAGGGCGACGGUGAAGAAGUCAUUCUGGGUGUAAAGCCAUUUUGUUGGGAAAGAAAAGUAGCAGGUUAAUACCACGAUGAUAUGACGGUACCCAAAGAAUAAGCACCGGCUAACUUCGUG
rnacentral:rRNA from 1 species